GAUAAUUUAGUAUGUUACAUCAUUUUUUCAUAAUGGAAAUGGAUUUAUUU
rnacentral:tRNA from 1 species